CCCCCGCCGCCCCCCCAACCUUUCCCUCGCGAACGAGACCCAGCCUGGGAGUCCCAGGCUCGUCUCCGCCGCUUUAAGCCGUGCGACCGUUGCUUUAAGCUUCGGUGACGCUGAGAAUAGCGAACCCUGCUUCGCGGGCUGGGCGUCAGGUUUAGGGAUGUUAGGGUGCAGAGUGCACAGCGGCGUGCCUGGCACACAGAGGAUGCACCCACUGCAGGGCACGUUUCCAAUACCAAAGCCAUAGCAGAGGCUCGAGUGCUCCAGCGGUUGCCAGAUGCCUGGCCCUGUGCCAGCGCUUUGCGUUCAUUAUCUCGUGGCACGCAUGCGGGCAAGGAAAUGCUUAAGUGACUCGGGGCCAGCGAGUGGUGAAGCCGGGGCGCAAAUCUGCACCCCACACUCAGGAUCCCGCGUCUCCUGUCUCCCGACUCCCCUUUCCUUCCCACCCCUCGGAGGUCAUCUCCUCCAGCCAGCCUUCGGCUAACCCCAUGAGUGAGCCCCCCUUCUCCGGAGCUGGAAGGAACUCCUGCUCCCCAGCCCCACCCCUGGCCAAUUUCAUAUCAAGAAGCAAGACCGACCUGUGAGAUUUUCCCCUAACCCCUCACGUAUAUUUGCUAUAUUUGCGAAGAAAAGAACGUCUCUUUUUGACAUUCUUCCCCUCUCUUUCCAGCUUCACUUUCUGCCCUAUCUUGCCCCCUCUUUACUCCAGUUGUCCUGGGGACCUCGCCUUUGCGGCUUUUGUUUCUCACAAGGAACUCAUAAGUACCCCCACCCUACUGGGGCCUUCCCUGUCUUGAGUGGCUCAGUCUUGUUCCCCUGUGAAGGAACUAAUACUCUUGAGAGGGGUGUCACCUUGAACCUUUAUUGGCUAACUCCUUGGGGGUGGGGGUUCCAACAGAGGUGACAAAUCUCCAGGGGUGCUGGUUCCCUCCCUGGAGCUGGCUCAUAGCAAUCCGAAGGAAUUAUUUCUAAGGAUGGAAUUUCAGGCCGGAAGACAUGGUGAAAGACAGUUUAGGGGGCUGGGUGGGCUUUUCCAGCACCCCACAGAGAACACUGUAAUGGACUUAACUUAUUCUGAUUAUUUGUAAAGCCAGCCUUGUCCACCCAUCUAAUUUAAGUCCCAUUUCCUCUGCCCGGUGAUGCUUCCCAGGAGCAUCAACAGAAUUAUCCCUCACUUUCCUCUGCUAAGCACCUCGGAGAGUUAUCUUCCCAAAUCAGUAGUGUAACAGGAAGGCUGUAUUUGAAGAAACUGAUACUCAAAGAGGUUGUUACUUCAGAGUCACAUCGUUGAUAAGUAAUGGAGCCACAUUUUAAAUCUGAGUUUGACUCUACAACUUGCUGUCCACCUCUUUCAUAGCUGGUUGUCUUUUCCUAGAUAGGAAGGUGGGUGGGAUCCCUUCCUCUGUGCCCUGACCUUCUGGUGGGAGACAGAAGGACUGUGAGGACAGUUUUAGCAGUUUGGUGAAACUGCAGCGAGAUAUCUGUUUAUAGAGGUUCUUUGGGAACACACGUGACUUUUAUUUAUACUUCAUAUCCCCCUUUUUUAGUUGUUUUUCAUCGUCACAGACUAGUUUCCAUUUCUAAUUUCUUUUUCUUGGUUCUAUGAUUAACUUUUUUUUUUUUUAAGACAGAAAUGUUUUUCAGAAUCUAAUGAAAACUCCUCAGAAAGUUAUACAUACCAAAAAAUUUUGCAUAGUCUAGGUUGCCUUUUUAAUAUAUAUAUAUGUAAAUAUAAAUACAUAUGUGCGUGUGUGUGUGUGUAAACACAGGUACAAAAGCCAUUACUAGAAUUUAUUAAAUAGAUUUGAUUGAGUGCUUGCCAUGUGUCAAACACAGCCUAAGUGCUUUACAAACAUUAUCUAAUUGCAAUCCUCUUAACGGCUCCACAAGGAAGACAUUAUCCACCAUUUCACAGCAAGAAAACCGGGGCUCAGAGUAGGAAAAUCACACAUGUGUGUGAUUCAGAGCUAGGUUUCAAACCUGGGCUCUGUGAUUUCUCCAAACCAUUUUCCCUAUCCUAGAGCUACCUCCAAAAUGUGUACCCAAACAGGAGCACCUGGGUGGCUCAGUCGGGUUAAGUGUCCCACUUCAGCUAAGGUCAUGAUCUCAUGGCUGUGAGUUCAAGCCACACGUCGGGCUCUGUGCUGACAGCUCAGAGCCUAGAGCCUGCUUUGCAUUCUGCAUCUCCCUCUCUCUCUGCCCCUCCUCCACUUGCUCUCUCUCUCUCCAAAAAUAAACAUUAAAAAAAAUUUUAAAUGUGUACCUGAACAGAGGACCUUGUCAAACACCAGUGCUUCACUAAAGGUGAGGGAGAACAAAGAAAGCCCAGAAGAACCUAGCUUCAAUACAGACCUCUUGAAUAAGACAUCCCCAGAAGGCUGCUUCUGAAGGAAACAGUGGAAUAUAAAAGCCCAAACUCUAUCCUGUUAUGAUUUUGCUGACAAUUAGUCUCAGGAAUGUAAAUGGGACCAAACUCAGGGCAAGAUUACUUUUUCUUAAAGCCAGUGCGUUCACUUUGUAAUGAAAUAAUGCAGGUGGAUCACAAAUGUAUUAUUAUAAUUGAGAGACAUGUCAACAGAAUAUAUCCCUUUGGGAGAAUGCCUGAACAUCAGCAGAAUCAAGGGACUUAUUUGUUUAUUUCAGUUGUUACAGCUGAUCAGAUUGGGGAGAACUUUGUAACUUCUUUAAUAAUUAAGCCAAGUUAAACCAUCAAUGGUCAUAAAUUAACUCAAACCAGUGACCAAGUCUACUAAAGCUGGCGUGUGUGUGUAGAUACAUGUAUAUAUAUUGGGUUGCCAUGAUAAUACAUUGUGAAGUGUGGAAAGAGAAAAGGUAGAAAUUAUAGUCAAUAGCAAAAAGGAAGUAUGUGUCAAUUCUCCUUCCCCCAUUCUUUUUGAAUCGUUGUCUGUCUUCCGGGGCUAGUAAAGAAACUUAAACCCCAAGCAUUUGGCCUGCCAUUUCCGUAGAUUAGCCUUUGAAGAUGUGAGCGGCGCCACGUCCAAUGUGGAGCUUGAACUCAUGACCCUGGGAUCAAGAGUCUCACGCUCUACCCUACUGAGCCAGCCAGGCGCCCUCACCUUUUUAGAGAGGGUGAAGUGUAAUAGGCAAUUAGGAGGGGGGGGGGGCCCUAUUUAAGACUCAGAAGGCUCAAAUUUAAAAUUAUUCAUGACACUCAACCUCUUUUUCUUCCUGCUUUAUGGCUGGAAAUAGUCAAAUGAAGGAAAGCUACAGAAAAUCCCCAAGAUGCUUGGGAAAUAAAAUAUUUACACAUAUUUAAGUUCCUUACUGUUUUUUGAGUGAAGCAAAAGACUCCCUUUAUUUCAACUUGUACUGGAAAUCUUUCUUAAAAGGAACUGUCCAUUCCCUUUUUCUAAUAUCUCAUGGUAAAUACAGUUUAAGAUUUGUGAUUCAGAUCCCAUAAUGGUUCACCAGUAUUGGUUCUUUUUUGUUUUUGUUUUUGUUUUUUUUAUGUUUAUUUAUUUAUUUUGAGAGAGACAGGAAGAGAGGAUCCCAAGCAGGCUCUGCUCUGUAUGCACGCAGCCCAAAGCAGGGCUCCAUCCCACAGACCGUGAAAUCAUGACCUGAACCGAAGCGAAGAGUAGGACACUUAACUGACUGAGCCACACUGGCGCCCCAGUGUCGGUUCUUUUCAUCCAGUAUUUGUAGCCAUGGAUGGUUUAUAAUAAGGAAGAAAAAGUAGGAUCUCCAGUCAUGGCUCUUAACUUGAUAUCAUCUGGCCUGUAGCCACUCUGGCCCAGAGAAUAAUUUCUUCCCUAGAGGCUUCAGGAUUAGGGCAUUCGAAGAACUGUAAUUAAAAUAAUCAUUUGAAAGGCGGUUACAGUGUGUGCACUCCUUUGCUUUGAAAGCGUCCAACUAAAUACCAUUGUUUCUUUAACAUGAAUUUAUUGAGCCCCUAUUGUGUGCUAAGCUCUGCCCCUCUCCCACCCCACCUGGUGUAAUGUUUCUCUCUGUAGAGUGCUGCCUUCAUUUUUGUUUUUUCUUCCCUUUAUUUUUCUCCAUUUCUCUUCUUGUCCUUUUCUUCUGUUGUUUCCUUCCCUUCUUUGUCUUUCUUUGUAAAUUCCAGGCAUUUGAAAAACUCAGUCGUAGUAAAAUUUUGAUUAAUUGGUAUAUGUCAUCAUUAAUGAAAUAUGUCUUAUAUUGACAUUUGCAUAUUUCCCUGCCCUUUGGCCUGUUUGGCCUACCUUGAAUUUUUACUUCAUCAAGUCUUUUAAAGCCCUUGUUUCAAAACAAAGGAGAGAGAAACAGAGGAUCUGAAUGAAAACUGUAGCCUUACUUGAAAACCUGAAAGAUCAAAUAUAUUAUUUAACUCAUGACGUUCUCCUCAAACACAUAGCUGUAGGACUUGGACCAGGGACGGGCCAUAUAGCCUGUGGACCAGAUCUGGCUGAUUGCCUGUUUUUGAUUGCCAGGCUGAUUGCCUGGCUAUUGCCUGUGGGCCAUAGCCCACAAGCUAAGAAUAGUUUUUAUAUUUUUAAGUGGUUUUUUCAGGGGUGCCUGGGUGGCUCAGUCGGUUGAGCGUCAGUCGGUUGAGCGUCCGACUUCAGCUCAGGUCAUGAUCUCACAGCUUGUGAGUUCAAGCCCCGCGUCAGGCUCUGUGCUGACAGGUCAGAGCCUGGAGCCUGCUUCGGAUUCUGUGCCUCCCCCUCUCUCUGCCCCAACCCACUCGCAUUCUGUCUCUGUCUCUCUCAAAAAUAAAUGAACAUUAAAAAAAAAAUUUAUAAGUGGUCUUUUCAAAAAAGAAUAUUGGGGCACCCUGGUGGUGCAGUCAGUUGAGCAUCAGAUCUCGGCUCAGGUCAUGAUCUCACAGUUCUAGAGAUCGAGGCUGCACUAAUGGUACGGAGCCUGCUCGGGGAUUCUGUCUCUCCCUCUCUCUGCCGCUCCCCUGCCUGCGUGCGCGCGCUCUCUCUCUCUCUUAAAAUAAAUAAGCUGUUUUUUUUUUUGUUUAAAAAGGAGAAUAUUUUGUUAUCCAUGAAAAUUAUAUGAGAUUCAGAUUUCCAUAUCCAUGAGUUUCACUUGAGCACAGCCUGCCCACCCAUGGGCAUAUUGCCUGUGACUGCUUCUGUGGUGCACAGUAAUUGCAACAGACCUUAUGGCCUACAAAGCCUAACGUUUCUGGUCCUUUACAGAAAAGUGUGGCAAAUCCUGAUGUAGAAUCUCUGGUGGGGGAUAGUGGUGGCCAAAAAGAACACUUAUAUCCUGAAUAUUUAUGCUUUUAAGAAAAAUGAAAAAUUGCCCAGACCUUUCACUUCCACCAACUGUUGCCCCUUAAAAAAGUGCUGUUAAGACCAUGCUGUUAGUAUGUGUUUUUGAGGCCAAACGCCUAGCCCUCUUGUCUCUCCCCACCCAAACUGCACUGUUCUUGGCAUUUGACAACACAAAGUGAAGUGUUUCUCUUGCAUUCCGGGAAAGGGGAAGGAAAAGAUUGUCCUUGAAAUGCUGCUUUUCAGGCAUUGCAACAAUCCCUGGGCUGGUUCUUUUCUUUUUUGUGUAUAAUGAUACAAAUGACCCUGAGUUAGAUUUUCAGAUAUUGUGGAAGACUUUUCUGGCCUUUCCCCGAAGAGGACAUCUAAUCUUUUGAACUUUAGAAUAAAAUACCAAAGAUAAAUGGAAUUUAUUAUUAAUCCACACGAUCUCCAGCAAUGCCAAGUUCAGUAGAUCUUAAAGUGAAUCAGCUGAUACAGCAUCAUUAACAACAUGGAGUGCUCUGAAAUUAUGCCUGCGUCAUCCUCUUGAAAAGAUUAUUUUACUGCUUUUUUGGGAGCCAACCCAACAAAAAUUACUGUGCAACUUUUGUUUGUUUGUUUCGUGAUUUUGUUUGUUUCCUUCUGUCUCUUCCCAGAAAGUCUUUUGCUUUUAUUACUUUGGGAGUCCAGGAGGAGUUUUUCAUACCUACUUUACAAAUUUUUGUAAAUGUUAGAAAGAAGGUAUGUGAGGAACCUGCUUGUGGCCGACAUGUGAUAAACAUUCAACAAAUGGUUAUUAUUAUUAAUUAUAAAAUAUACCUCCAGAAUGAGAAAAAUUUAAGAAUUGUGUGAUUUUAUCUUUUCAACAAAAUUCGUUUACACAGGAAGGAUGCAUGGAAGUUUUGCUAAGCAUAUAUGCAUUGCAGCAAGUUUCUAUUUGAGAAAAUUGGAACCUAAUUGUUCAUUAGAUGGAACAAUGGAAUAUUAUUCGACCUUUAAUAAUAAAGAAUAUGUACUGACAUGAAAAGAUACUCACAAUUGGGGGGAAAGCAGGUUUAAAAUAAUUAUGUAUACCAUUAUUUUAUUUUAUUUUAUUUUUUAAAAAAAGCAGAUAGGAAAGGUUUAAAGGACAAAUAGCAAGGUAGAAAAUAAUCGCCAUCUAGAGAAAAUGAAGGUAUAGAUAAUUUUUCUUUUAAAAUAAGAGAAAAAAAUGAUGUUUUUAAAAAUUCAUGUUAGUACCCCGGAGAUAAGCCCCAUUUGAAUAUUCAGUUAAACAGUGUUGAUGUAUAAACUUAUAUCCAUUUUCAAAACCUUGCUUUGAUUAGUUAAAAUUUUAUUUUGGGGCACCUGGGUGGCUCAGUCAGUUGAGCAUCCAACUUCAGCUCAGGUCGUGAUCUCACCGUUGGGUUCAUGUGGGUUGUGGGUUCGAGCCCCACAUCGGGCUCGCCGUGGUUGGCACGGAGCCUGCUUCGGAUCCUCAGUCCCCCUUUCUCUUUGCCCCUCCCCCCUCUCAAAAAUAAAUAAAGAUUACAAAAAUUACUUUAAUGCAGUUUUCAGAAGAGUUUUGUAGUAAAAGAAAAGAUAAAAACUAUGGCCACGUAGUAUUUACAACCAAGUGUCAUGGGGUCACCAAUCUUUACGAGUAUUCCCACCCAGCCAAGUACCAACAAGUAUAUCAACCAAAAUAUCUCAGGAAUACUGACUGCUCAUCAUUUAUCUUUUACCUCCUACAGCUGGGAGGUAUUCAGUCUUCAAGCUAAUGAAUGAGGAACUUGAAGGAAAUGACUUUCAUGAAAUUUGGGGGAGUAACUGAGAAUUUCUAUUCCUCUUUGGCCCGUGAAGGGUAGAUGACUAAGAACUCGUUAGUACCUUGGUGAAGGAUAAGCCUCACCUCUCUGAGGAAUGUGACUAUGUACCUUUAUGAGCUAUAACCAGAUAAGGAAGAAUUUCAAGGGUUGAGAAAGAGAUAGUUCUAGAGGCACCAGAAUAAUCUGAAAUGGUGCCAUUUCCCCAGCGUAUAAAGAGAUUAUUUUUUAUUGAUUUUUCAAAGUUUAUUUAUUUUGAGUGAGAGUGAGCAGGGGAGGGGCAGAACGGGAGAGAGAGAAUCCCAAGCAGGCUCCUGCACUGCCAGCUUAGAGCCCCACACGGGGCUCGAACUCACAAACAGUGAGAUCAUGACGGGAGCUGGGAUCAAGAGUCAGGCACUUAGCCAACGGAGCCACCCAGGUGCCCCUACAUGGAUUACUUCUAGCUGAGCCUUUGAAAUGUGAAAGUCCAAGUCCAGUUUUCCAGAUACGCACUUCAUUUCUUACUGCUCUUGGUUUGUAAUCUCGUAUAUUCAUUUGAGGAUUUCAAGAAUAAUGUCACGACAGAAACAGAGUGCAUGCACACAUGUACAUACAAAAAGACUGGGCGAGAAUAAGAAUAAACAUCCCAUCCUUCCAAAAGUUUCUAGUCUUAUAUAUUCAGGAUGCAGAGGUUUGUACUUUGCCUGGAGAUAGGAGGUUUGGGGCAGUAUUUUAGAAAGCACCAAAUGCUGUCAGAGAAGUAUUUGGCCAGUGUGUUCCUUAUUUGCAAUCCAUUUCACUUUGGAAACCUAGACCUGAGCCUGGCAGAGAGCCUUCAGACCAUUUUGCUAUAAAUAGGCACAGCUGGAAUUAAGAGGUCUUCCUCUGUAGGGACAUCAGAUUUCAUUCUCAGAACUCCUACCAUGCUUUCCAAGUUUGCAUACUCUCUUGAGAAAGUGCUCCAGACACAAAAAUGUCUUUGAUGAGGAUUUUUUUUUAUUACUUAAAAAAAAUUUUUUUUAAUGUUUAUUUCUGAGAGAGAGAGAGACACACACAGAGUGCAAGUGGGGAGGGUCAGAGAGAGGGAGACACAAAAUCCGAAGCAGGUUCCAGGCUCUGAGCUGUCAGCACAGAGCCCGACGUGGGGCUCGAACUCACAAACUGUGAGAUCAUGACCGGAACCGAAGUCAGAUACUUAAUCGACUGAGCCACCCAGGAGCCCCAGAAUUCUUUUUGAUUUUUUUUUUUUUUAAUUCAGAGUCAAAGGACCAAAGGAGUGAAUGGACUUAGAACAGGAGCUCUGGAGCAAGAUGUCCUAUGUUUGAAUCCCAGAUCUUCCUCCCUCAUGUGACCUUGGGAAAGUUUUGUUGUUUCAGUUACCUCCUUUGUAAAAUGAAAUUAAAAAUACUUAACUUCAGGGGCGCCUGGGUGGUUCAAUCGGUUGAGCGUCCAACUCUUGAUUCUGGCUCAGGUCAUGAUCUUGUGGUUGGUGAGUUCCAGACCCACGUUGUGCUCUGUGCUGACAGCUCAGAGCCUGCUUGGGACUCUGUCUCUCACUCUGUCCCUCCCCUGCUUGUGCUCUCUCUCUCUCUCUCAAAAUAAACAAACAAACAAACAUACAUUAAACAAUAUCUUAGGGGCGCCUGGCUGGCUUAGUCGGUUGCACAACUGACUUCGGCUCAGGUCAUGAUCUCGCAGUUUGUGGGUUUGAACCCCAUGUCGGGCUCUGUGCUGACAGCUCAGAGCCUGAAGCCAGCUUCAGAUUCUGUGUCUCCCCCUCUCUCCGCCCUUCCCCCACUUGCACCCUGUGUCUGCCUCUCUCAAAAACAAUAAAACAAUAAAUAAAACAUUAAAAAUAUUUUUUAAGGGGCGCCUGGGUGGCUCAGUCGGUGUAGCGUCCAACUUCAGCUCAGGUCACGAUCUCACGGUCCGUGAGUUCGAGCCCCGCGUCGGGCUCUGGGCUGACGGCUCAGAGUCUGGAGCCUGCUUCCGAUUCUGUGUCUCCCUCUCACUCUGCCCCUCCCCCGUUCAUGCUCUGUCUCUCUCUGUCUCAAAAAUAAA